rnacentral:rRNA from 1 species
UACGAAGGGGGCUAGCGUUGCUCGGAAUCACUGGGCUUAAAGGGUGCGUAGGCGGUCUGUCAAGUCAGGGGUGAAAUCCUUCGGCUUAACCGGAGAACAGCCCCUGAUACUGAUGGGCUCGAGGGAGAUAGAGGCAGCCGGAACUACCGGUGGAGCGGUGAAAUGCGUUGAUAUCGGUAGGAACGCCAGAGGCGCAAGCGGGCUGCUGGAUCUCUUCUGACGCUGAUGCACGAAAGCUAGGGGAGCAAACGGG